AGCCGCUUAACACUCCUGGUCCACAGCGAGAGUCCACCCACUCCAGACUUUGGCCUUAGCUGUAGCUAGUGUGGGAGCCUGGGAAGUCUAGGAGCAAAGUCUCUCAAGCAGACAGAAAGCUACAGCUUCACACAUUGUGUUGCCUGCCAGCUUUCCCCAGAGGUAAGUGGUGGUGGGAAUGGGGAUGCUAUAAAAAAGACUGGCUAAGGAUGGCGUAUAGUGGUGGUUCGGCCUUUAGGCUUCAAAAAUUGCCUUCACAUGCCAUCCCCUUGAUCUCCACAACACGGAGAUGGGUCUGGUGGGUAUUGUAGCCCAGUUUACUAAAUGAAAAAACAGGUUCCAAGAUAGAUUGAAGAUGUCCCGCCUCACACAGUAAUGUUGAGGCUACCAGGACAGAAAUGGAGGGUUCUUGGUUCCAAAAGCAAGACAAGGAUACAUUUAGAGGGUUUUGAUGUUCCUGGUUUCGUAAGAGAAUGGUACUUCAGGUCCCUCUGCUCUCACACAGGGAUAGGUCUGCCCACAGGACCAGCUCAGGUUUAUUUCAUUAGCUACAAAGUGCUUGCCCAUAAUCUGUUUCACACAAUAAGCCAUAGCUUGCCAAUCCUCUGCCAAGCAUAUAGUCUCAUCUGCUCAGACCAGACAUUUCCAGCUAAGUAAAUGUUAGGGGCCAAGGCUAAAGGGGUAGAGGAAAUGACAAGUUUUCCUGCCCAGCCUAGGCUGCCCUCAGCAGGGCAUCUCAUCCCAUCAUGUGGCUGCCUCUGCUUCUGGGUGCCUUGCUGUGGGCAGUGCUGUGGUUGCUCAGAGACCGGCAGAGCCUGCCGGCCAGUGAUGCUUUCAUCUUCAUCACUGGCUGUGACUCUGGCUUUGGGCGCCUUCUGGCACUGCAACUUGACCAGAAGGGCUUCCAAGUCCUGGCCGGCUGCCUGACCCCCUCUGGAGCAGAAGACCUGCAGCAGAUGGCCUCCUCCCGCCUCCACACAACACUACUGGAUAUCACUGAUCCCCAGAAUGUCCAGCAAGUUGCCAAGUGGGUGAAGACACGUGUUGGAGAAACUGGACUUUUUGGUCUGGUGAAUAACGCUGGCGUAGCUGGUAUCAUCGGGCCCACACCAUGGCUAACACAGGAUGAUUUCCAGAGAGUACUGAGUGUGAACACACUGGGGCCCAUCGGUGUCACCCUUGCCCUGCUGCCCCUGCUACAGCAGGCCAGGGGUCGGGUGGUCAACAUCACCAGUGUCUUGGGCCGCAUAGCAGCCAAUGGCGGGGGCUACUGUGUCUCCAAGUUUGGCCUGGAGGCCUUCUCUGACAGCCUGAGAUUCCACACUCCUGGAAACCUGAGUUAAAACACAGGAACCUCUCUGCCCACCCUCCAGGCGGGACAUGGCUCCGUUCGGAGUACAAGUCUCCAUUGUGGAGCCUGGCUUCUUUCGAACCCCUGUGACCAACCUGGAGAGUCUGGAGAGCACCCUGAAGGCUUGUUGGGCCCGGCUACCUCCAGCUAUACAGGCCCACUACGGGGAAGCCUUCCUCGAUACUUAUCUUCGAGUACAGCGCCGCAUCAUGAACCUGAUCUGUGACCCAGAACUAACGAAGGUGACCAGCUGCCUGGAGCAUGCCCUGACUGCUCGCCACCCCCGAACACGCUACAGCCCAGGCUGGGAUGCCAAGCUGCUCUGGCUGCCUGCCUCCUACCUUCCAGCCAGGGUGGUGGAUGCUGUGCUCACCUGGAUCCUUCCCCGGCCCGCCCAGUCAGUCUCCUGAUUCCAGCUUUACAGCAAGAGGCUGAUUUUGAAAAGCAAGGCAUCUAUUUCUGUGUCUACCCAGUGCUGCCUGGUUUCUGAUACCAAUUAGGCUCUCAAUAAAUAUGUAUUGCUUUAAAUCAAAAA